CCUACGGGCGGCAGCAGUAGGGAAUAUUGCUCAAUGGGGGAAACCCUGAAGCAGCAACGCCGCGUGGAGGAUGAAGGUUUUAGGAUUGUAAACUCCUUUUGUGAGAGAAGAUAAUGACGGUAUCUCACGAAUAAGCACCGGCUAACUCCGUGCCAGCAGCCGCGGUAAUACGGAGGGGGCAAGCGUUACUCGGAAUUACUGGGCGUAAAGGGAGCGCAGGCGGGCUUGUAAGUCAGAUGUGAAAUCCUGUGGCUUAACUACAGAACUGCAUUUGAAACUACCAGUCUAGAGUGUGGGAGAGGUAGGUGGAAUUCUUGGUGUAGGGGUAAAAUGCGUAGAUAUCAAGAGGAAUACUCAUUGCGAAGGCGACUUACUGGAACAUUACUGACGCUCAUGCACGAAAGCGUGGGUAGCAAACAGGAUUAGAUACCCCUGUAGUC
rnacentral:rRNA from 1 species